AAGAAGAAGCCUGCGGGUCGCUGAGUGAAGUGGGUUUCUGGGCGCCAGGCAGACCCCGGGAGUCUUGGAGGCUGCGGCAAAGGCUCGGUCUGGGACUGCCGGGCGCGGAGCGGGAAGCGCCUUUGUAGUCUGGCUUCCAGAAUCGGGAUAGACGCUUUCCCACUAAACCUACGCGAAGCAACACUAAAGGAGGUUGACCAUGAUUGCGAAGAAACCUAACGUUUC
rfam:Neotoma lepida isolate 417 scaffold_1226, whole genome shotgun sequence.